CAUACAGCGCACACACAAAAAUCUUUAGCCUGCCUUUUGAUAAUGACCAUAGACAGCGCUAGGACUCUUCUGUUGAGCCGUGGUGCACCAUGGGGCUGUCUGGAUCAUCUCUCAUUUACAAUUAAACAAAAUCAUAAGUUGAGCUUGGCUGGCAUCCAGUCUCCUUUCCCCACUUCCCAGAGCUGCGUGCACUGCCUCUGCUCCAAUCAGAACUCGAAAGCCUCCAUGUGCUGGAGCUGAGCUCCAGCCCUUAAAUAGCUCUUUGCUAAGGAAACAGCUGUUAAGGUCCAUGGAUCAGAGAUGCUGCCAUAAGCUCACCUGCCAGACCCCUUUCUCUCCUCCUGCUUUCACAACAGUGGUGCACUUGACCAGAGUCACUUGGUCCCUGUUGUUUUCAUCUGGGAGUUGUAUGCUCAAUAUCUCUGGCCAGCACGCAAACAGCACAGAGCAUGGAGAUUCUGGGAAGGUGUGAGUCCUUUUCCCUCUGGAUAACUGUGCUGUCCUUUGGAAGGGUUCUCUCCAUGGAUUUCUCUUACCUGGGAUCCUCCCUGAGCCUGCAGUCCUCCUUCCAGGAGAACACAACACAGGUACUUUUAUAUUACCGAGGGAUUGCUUCUCCUUGUUCCAGUACCGAAGAUGGGAUUUGCAGGGCUGUGAACUGCACUUCCAGAGUUCCCUCCGCAGGUUUACAGAACUCCACAGCCCUGUGCCAGCUAGAGGGAGAGGCGGCCAUCUUCCCCGCUUCCCCUGGAUCCUUCCCCAUGAGGUAAGGUGGGUGUUAAUGUCUUCGGUGAAUGUAGAGCUGGUGAAAAGUGCUUGGCUGACAGGUACAGAGCAUGGCAGGGCCAGUUGCCCCACAUACUGCCCCACCAGCAUGCCUCAGCCAGACUUUCAGGCAACCCUUCGAGGGUUGGAAAAGCCAAAUCCAGCCGUUCGCUUCUCUGCUCAGAUCGGGGUGGGGAGGUGGGUUUGUGAUGCUAGCCAGGAACAGCCUUUGCCUUCCUUGCAGAGGAUGGGGGGAGAGAUAGCCGCAUCAGAGCUAUUUUUUGGGCAGCAAGCCUGAAGUAUUGUCCCAAACUGAUGCGUCAGUAGAAGAGGUUUUGGAACAAACUGAUAAAUUAAACAGUCACCAGGACCAGAUGGUAUUCACCCAAGAGUUCUGAAGGAACUCUCAUAUGAAAUUGCAGAACUACUAACUGUGGUAUGUAACUUAAAUCGGCCUCUGUACCAGAUGUUUGGAGGAUAGCUAAUGUAACACCAAUUUUUAAAAAAGGGUCCAAAGGAGAUCUUGACAAUUACAGGCCAGUAAGCCUAACUUUAGUAUCAGGCAGAUUGACUGAAACUACACUACAGAACAGAAUUAUCAGACAAAUACAUGAACAUGAUAUGUUGAGGGAAGAGUCAAUGUGGCUUUUGUAAAGGGAAAUCAUGCCUCACCAAUCUAUUA
rnacentral:lncRNA from 1 species